UACGUAGGGUACAAGCGUUGUCCGGAAUUAUUGGGCGUAAAGAGCUCGUAGGCGGUUUGUCGCGUCUGCUGUGAAAACUCGGGGCUUAACUCCGGGCCUGCAGUGGGUACGGGCAGACUAGAGUGCGGUAGGGGAGACUGGAAUUCCUGGUGUAGCGGUGAAAUGCGCAGAUAUCAGGAGGAACACCGGUGGCGAAGGCGGGUCUCUGGGCCGUAACUGACGCUGAGGAGCGAAAGCGUGGGGAGCGAACAGG
rnacentral:rRNA from 1 species